AGUGAACGCUGGCGGUAGGCCUAACACAUGCAAGUCGAACGGCAGCACAGGAGAGCUUGCUCUCUGGGUGGCGAGUGGCGGACGGGUGAGGAAUACAUCGGAAUCUACUCUGUCGUGGGGGAUAACGUAGGGAAACUUACGCUAAUACCGCAUACGACCUACGGGUGAAAGCAGGGGACCUUCGGGCCUUGCGCGAUUGAAUGAGCCGAUGUCGGAUUAACUAGUUGGCGGGGUAAAGGCCCACCAAGGCGACGAUCCGUAGCUGGUCUGAGAGGAUGAUCAGCCACACUGGAACUGAGACACGGUCCAGACUCCUACGGGAGGCAGCAGUGGGGAAUAUUGGACAAUGGGCGCAAGCCUGAUCCAGCCACACCGCGUGGGUGAAGAAGGCCUUCGGGUUGUAAAGCCCUUUUGUUGGGAAAGAAAUCCAGCUGGCUAAUACCCGGUUGGGGUGACGGUACCCAAAGAAUAAGCACCGGCUAACUUCGUGCCAGCAGCCGCCGUAA
rnacentral:rRNA from 1 species